CCUUGAUGACGACUGGCGCACGGGUGAGUAACGCGUAUCCAACCUUCCCAUAACUACGGGAUAACCCGUUGAAAGACGGCCUAAUACCGUAUGACAUCGUUUGCUGACAUCAAAUAACGAUUAAAGGUUUAGCGGUUAUGGAUGGGGAUGCGUCUGAUUAGCUUGUUGGCGGGGUAACGGCCCACCAAGGCAACGAUCAGUAGGGGUUCUGAGAGGAAGGUCCCCCCACAUUGGAACUGAGACACGGUCCAAACUCCUACGGGAGGCAGCAGUC
rnacentral:rRNA from 1 species